GACGAACGCUGGCGGCGUGCUUAACACAUGCAAGUCGAACGGAAAGGCCCUGCUUUUGUGGGGUUCUCGAGUGGCGAACGUGUGUGUAACACGUGAGUAACCUUCCCUUUACUUUGUGAUAUCUUCAGGAAACUGGUGCUAAUACCGGAUAGGAGCUCCUGCUGCAUGGUGGGGGUUGGAACGUUUCGGCGGUUGGGGAUGGACUCGCGGGUUAUCAGCUUGUUGGUUGGGUAGUGGCUUACCAAGGCUUUGACGGGUAGCCGGACUGUGAGGGUGACCGGAGACAUUGGGACUGAGAUACGGACCAGACUGCUACGGGAGGCAGCAGUGGGGAAUAUUGCACAAUGGGCGGAAGCGUGAUGAAGAAACGCCGCGUGCGGGAUGACGGCCUUCGGGUUGUAAACCGCAGUCGGCUGUGACGAAGCGUGAGUGACGGUAAUGGGUAAAGAAGCACCGGCUAACUACGUG
rnacentral:rRNA from 1 species